UACAGAGGGUGCGAGCGUUGUCCGGAAUCACUGGGCGUAAAGGGCGCGUAGGCGGCUUGGUAAGGUUGCGGUGAAAGCCCGGGGCUCAACCCCGGGUCGGCCGUGGCAACUGCUGAGCUCGAGCACUGUAGAGGCAGGUGGAAUUCCGGGUGUAGCGGUGGAAUGCGUAGAGAUCCGGAAGAACACCGGUGGCGAAGGCGGCCUGCUGGGCAGUGGCUGACGCUGAUGCGCGACAGCGUGGGGAGCAAACAGG
rnacentral:rRNA from 1 species